UACGGAGGGGGCUAGCGUUGUUCGGAAUUACUGGGCGUAAAGCGCACGUAGGCGGCUUUGCAAGUUAGAGGUGAAAGCCCGGGGCUCAACUCCGGAAUUGCCUUUAAAACUGCAUCGCUAGAAUUGUGGAGAGGUAAGUGGAAUUCCGAGUGUAGAGGUGAAAUUCGUAGAUAUUGGGAAGAACACCGGUGGCGAAGGCGGCGACCUGGUCCUUGACUGACGCUGAGGCGCGAAAGCGUGGGGAGCAAACAGG
rnacentral:rRNA from 1 species